rnacentral:rRNA from 1 species
AUUGAACGCUGGCGGCAGGCCUAACACAUGCAAGUCGAGCGGUAGAGAGAAGCUUGCUUCUCUUGAGAGCGGCGGACGGGUGAGUAAUGCCUAGGAAUCUGCCUGGUAGUGGGGGAUAACGUUGGGAAACGGACGCUAAUACCGCAUACGUCCUACGGGAGAAAGAAGGGGACUUUCGGGCUUUGCGCUAUAGGAUGAGCCUAGGUCGGAUUAGCUAGUUGGUGGGGUAAUGGCUCACCAAGGCGACGAUCCGUAACUGGUCUGAGAGGAUGAUCAGUCACACUGGAACUGAGACACGGUCCAGACUCCUACGGGAGGCAGCAGUGGGGAAUAUUGGACAAUGGGCGAAAGCCUGAUCCAGCCAUGCCGCGUGUGUGAAGAAGGUCUUCGGAUUGUAAAGCACUUUAAGUUGGGAGGAAGGGCAGUAAAUUAAUACUUUGCUGUUUUGACGUUACCGACAGAAUAAGCACCGGCUAACUCUGUG